rnacentral:rRNA from 1 species
UACAGAGGUCCCAAGCGUUGUUCGGAUUCAUUGGGCGUAAAGGGUGCGUAGGUGGCGCGCUAAGUCAGGUGUGAAAUCUCGGGGCUUAACUCCGAAACUGCAUUUGAUACUGGCGUGCUUGAGGACUGGAGAGGAGACUGGAAUUCAUGGUGUAGCAGUGAAAUGCGUAGAGAUCAUGAGGAAGACCAGUGGCGAAGGCGACUCUUUGGCCUGUAACUGACGCUGAGGCGCGAAAGCGUGGGGAGCAAACAGG